rnacentral:rRNA from 1 species
UACGAAGGGGGCUAGCGUUGCUCGGAAUCACUGGGCGUAAAGCGCACGUAGGCGGAUUGCUAAGUCAGGGGUGAAAUCCUGGAGCUCAACUCCAGAACUGCCUUUGAUACUGGAGAUCUUGAGUCGGGAGAGGUGAGUGGAACUGCGAGUGUAGAGGUGAAAUUCGUAGAUAUUCGCAAGAACACCAGUGGCGAAGGCGGCUCACUGGCCCGGUACUA